rnacentral:rRNA from 1 species
UACAGAGGGUGCGAGCGUUAAUCGGAAUUACUGGGCGUAAAGCGCGCGUAGGUGGCUUUGCAAGUCGGGUGUGAAAUCCCCAGGCUUAACCUGGGAACUGCAUUCGAGACUGCAUUGCUAGAGUAUGGGAGAGGGAAGUGGAAUUUCCGGUGUAGCGGUGAAAUGCGUAGAUAUCUGGAGGAACACCGGUGGCGAAGGCGGCAUCCUGGACCGGCAUUGACGCUGAGGCGCGAAAGCCAGGGGAGCAAACGGG